rnacentral:rRNA from 1 species
UAAGGAAUAUUGCGCAAUGGACGAAAGUCUGACGCAGCAACGCCGCGUGCAGGAAGAAGGCCCUUCGGGUCGUAAACUGCUGUAGCAGGGGAAUAAUGAUCCGCCACGGGUGGAUUUGAAGGUACCCUGAAAGUAAGCUCCGGCUAACUACGUGCCAGCAGCCGCGGUAAUACGUAGGGAGCAAGCGUUGUCCGGAUUCACUGGGUGUAAAGGGUGCGCAGGCGGACUUGUAAGUCAGGGGUGAAAUCUCACGGCUUAACCGUGAAACUGCCUUUGAUACUGCAGGUCUUGAGUUCGGGAGAGGUUGAUGGAAUUCCAGGUGUAGCGGUGAAAUGCGUAGAUAUCUGGAAGAACACCAGUGGCGAAGGCGGUCAACUGGCCCGUAACUGACGCUCAGGCACGAAAGCGUGGGUAGCGAACAG